UACCUGGACUAGAAUGUGAGGGAAGAAAGGGUAAUUCCGAUCGUCCGGGAAACCGGACCCGAAACAAGGUGCUGCAUGGCUGUCGUCAGCUCGUGUCGUGAGAUGUUGGGUUAAGUCCCGCAACGAGCGCAACCCUUAUCAACAGUUGCCAUCAUUAAGUUGGGAACUCUGUUGAGACUGCCGUUGAUAAAACGGAGGAAGGUGGGGAUGAUGUCAAGUCAUCAUGGCCUUUAUGUUCAGGGCUACACACGUGCUACAAUGGCCGGUACAAAACGUGGCAAUCCCGCGAGGGGGAGCUAAUCGCAAAAACCGGUCUCAGUUCGGAUUGAAGUCUGCAACUCGACUUCAUGAAGUUGGAAUCGCUAGUAAUCGCAAAUCAGCAUGUUGCGGUGAAUACGUUCCCGGGUCUUGUACACACGC
rnacentral:rRNA from 1 species